UUUACAAACCCUGAGUUUCCAUAUCCAAUGUUUGACCGUCCAUCUUAUUUAGAAAAGUUAUGAAAAAAAAUAAAAAGACAAGUCAUGCAUAAAGUAUUAAUCAUGUUUUAUCAUCUAACAACAAUGAAAAUACUAAUUAUAAAAAAUUUCAUAUAAGACGGACAGUCAAACGUUGUACACAGAAAUUCAGUGUUUGUUUUUUU
rfam:Oryza sativa Japonica Group DNA, chromosome 5, cultivar: Nipponbare, complete sequence.